GUAAACAAUCAAAACAUUUUACAGCUUAAGUAUGUCCCAAAUACCUCAUGGGACUUGCUUACACCCCUAUUGUUAUUUAUCUGCAAGUCGGAUAUAAUUGGGCAUUCUCUAUUCUAUCGCACCCCGGGGAGAUGAAGGGUCCCCAGACGAAGCCUUCUUCCAGGCCACACGCCUCCCAAGGAUGCUGCUGGCGUGGCAGAACCCCGUCCUGGCUGGGGUGGAGGUGCGACUCACUGAAAGGCUCUAAACCAGCGGCCUGGUCUGCGGGGCGGCCGCCCCCAGCUCAUCGGCGCCCCUGGCUCCUCUCGCUUCACCGCUCAUGUUUCUGCCCUCCCACCUGCUGCAUUUACACCGUUUUUUCUGUCAGCUCCCAAGUCUCAGGGCAGUUUCUGCCGGGCUGCCUCCAGGUUAGGGCAGCGUCUUAGGAACCACGCUGUCUCCACACAGGCUGCUGGGGAGACGGGACCCCAAGACCCCCAGGCCCAAGCUCUGGCACCCAGUUUGCUGGGACGGGGGCCGCAGGCUUUCUUUCCCCGGUGUUUGCUACACGAGGCAGCACCAGGGUCUAUCUUGACCUUGCACAUUUUUUUUUAAUAACUGCAGUGUAAGAUUUUACAAUCUUACAUAGUUCAUCUGCCCCAUUUUUCUGCCUGUUUAGAUUUUUUAAAUUCUGUCAUUUAGUAUAAUCAUUCUUUCUCAGCCUUAGGA
ensembl:lncRNA